ACCCUGGUGGCUCAGAUGGUAGAGCGUCUGCCUACAAUGCAGGAGACCUGGGUU
rnacentral:tRNA from 1 species